ACGGGAGGCAGCAGUGGGGAAUAUUGCACAAUGGGCGCAAGCCUGAUGCAGCGACGCCGCGUGAGUGAAGAAGUAUUUCGGUAUGUAAAGCUCUAUCAGCAGGGAAGAAAAUGACGGUACCUGACUAAGAAGCCCCGGCUAACUACGUGCCAGCAGCCGCGGUAAUACGUAGGGGGCAAGCGUUAUCCGGAUUUACUGGGUGUAAAGGGAGCGUAGACGGCAAGGCAAGUCUGAUGUGAAAACCCAGGGCUCAACCCUGGGACUGCAUUGGAAACUGUCAAGCUAGAGUGCAGGAGAGGUAAGUGGAAUUCCUAGUGUAGCGGUGAAAUGCGUAGAUAUUAGGAGGAACACCAGUGGCGAAGGCGGCUUACUGGACUGUAACUGACGUUGAGGCUCGAAAGCGUGGGGAGCAAACAGGAUUAGAUACCCUGGUA
rnacentral:rRNA from 1 species